AGUAAAUUGGUUAAGUUAGAAAGGGCGCACGGUGGAUGCCUUGGCACUAGGAGCCGAAGAAGGACGGGACUAACACCGAUAUGCUUUGGGGAGCUGUACGUAAGCGUUGAUCCAGAGAUUUCCGAAUGGGGGAACCCACUAUCUUUAGUCGGAUAGUAUCCUUACGUGAAUACAUAGCGUGAGGAAGGCAGACCCAGGGAACUGAAACAUCUAAGUACCUGGAGGAAGAGAAAGAAAAAUCGAUUUCCUGAGUAGCGGCGAGCGAAACGGAAAGAGCCCAAACCAAGAAGCUUGCUUCUUGGGGUUGUAGGACACUCUAUACGGAGUUACAAAAGAAAGUUAUAAAUGAAGCGGUCUGGAAAGGCCCGCCAAAGACGGUAACAGCCCGGUAGUUGAAAUGGCUUUCCCUCCAGAGUGG
rnacentral:rRNA from 1 species